rnacentral:rRNA from 1 species
UACGUAGGGUGCGAGCGUUGUCCGGAAUUAUUGGGCGUAAAGAGCUUGUAGGCGGUUUGUCGCGUCUGCCGUGAAAAUCCGGGGCUCAACCCCGGACUUGCGGUGGGUACGGGCAGACUAGAGUGUGGUAGGGGAGACUGGAAUUCCUGGUGUAGCGGUGAAAUGCGCAGAUAUCAGGAGGAACACCGAUGGCGAAGGCAGGUCUCUGGGCCACUACUGACGCUGAGAAGGGAAAGCGUGGGGAGCGAACAGG